UUUUUGUAAGGAUGUGUAAAUGUGUGAAUCGAUCAAUAAGUAAUAUAACUUCUCUUGGUACCUGCUAUAUUCUAGGUCCUAGCCUGAGUCCUUCUUUGCUCAAUGAGGAGUCUAAAGACCUUCCAUGGCUUUGGAGUUAUAGGGUGAAAGGUUCACUCCACAGUCUAUCAAUUUUUAGCAGCAAUUCUCCAACCAUCAGUUAUGGGUGCUUUAGCCCCUAGUUCUAUUCCUUCAAGGUAAGUAUUAUAUUCUUAAUCCCAAGGAAAACAUCUUACAAGACAUCAUCAGAUGGUGAGUGUAUUUGUUUUAUGCUAUAAAUUAACUUCCCCUGUGUGGAAGACUGUACUAGAUGAUUGUAUUGGCCUCUAGGAGAGAAUAAACAACUUUCUUAUGUAGAGUUAAAUGGUAUUAGAGGAAGAUAAAACACAGAUUUAACUAAUACUUAAAGAACAAUCAUCAUCUCUUAGGUUUACAUUUUUCAAGUUAAUCAGUCCUAAAUCUUGAGACCUCCAGAGAUGUGACGCCUGUAUUAAUUUUUUCCCAUUAACUUCUUCCUAUCUUAGUCCCUUCUCUGCCCAGCAUAGGUUCGAUGGUCGUUACUUCAGACACUCUCUUGACAAUAUUCUCAACUUCCUUUUUGUGGUUUCUGGCUUCUUGCAUUCAGUGAAUCAUCCAAAAACUCCACCCCAACAACGACCAUACUUUAUCUCCCUGCAAAGAUAGAAGCCAUCAGACCAAUUUCUCUCUAAGCUUAGACAUAUCUCCAUCUAUCUGGGUUUAAAGCCCUGCUAUUCCCAAAAGCAGUAUCACUCCUCUGUGGCUGAUCUUCUUCUCUGUCUCAUUUCAUCGUAUCUGUUUAAGACCUCAUUCCCUCACACAUUCCUUCUUUUUCCUAAACUUCCACUUCUCCCUCUUUAAAGGACAGAGUGCACCAACAGAGUUCGGUAUGGGUUGAAUUGUGUCCCUGCCAAAAUCAUAUAUUGAAGUCCUAACUCUCAGUAUCUUAGAAUGUGACCAGAUUUGGAGAUGGGUAUCUUUAAAGAGGUAAUUAAGGUGAAAUGAGGUCAUUAGGGUGGGCACUAAUGAAAUACAUCUGCUCGCUUUAUCAUUAGAGGAAAUUAGGACACAGACACACACAGAGGGAAGACCAUGUGAAGACACAGGGAGAAGAUGAUCACCUGCAAGCCAAGGAGAGAGGUCUCAAAUGAAACAACCUUGCCAAUAAAUGUAACCUUGGACUUCUAGCCUCCAGAACUGUGAUAAAACAGAUUUCUAUUUUUUAAGCUGAGUCUGUGGUUCUUUGUAUGGAAGCCCGUACAAACUAAUAUGGAGUUCAUCAGCCCUUAUAGAAAGUUAAGUCUUUUCCAUCUUCAGAAAUUAUUCCAUCUUUUGAACCUACAUGCCUCUUUUUUCAAUC
rnacentral:lncRNA from 1 species